rnacentral:rRNA from 1 species
UACGUAGGGGGCAAGCGUUGUUCGGAAUCAUUGGGCGUAAAGGGCGCGUAGGUGGUUCUGUAUGUCUACCGUGAAAGCGUACGGCUCAACCGUAUUUUGUCGGUGGAAACUGCAGGACUUGAGGCUGGGAGGGCUGGUGGAAUUCCCUGUGUAGCGGUGAAAUGCGCAGAUAUCAGGAAGAACACCUAUGGCGAAGGCAGCUCUCUGGGACGGUACUGACGCUGAGACGCGAAAGCGUGGGGAGCGAACAGG